AUCCAGGUCACGAGUCCCAAAACAGGACGAAACGUGCGUCCUGGAU
rnacentral:hammerhead_ribozyme from 1 species